GACUGGCAUCGCUUGAUCCCCGAUGGCUCAACCAGCCACGGCAGACAAUUUAAUACCGUAGCUGCCUUUUGAGCGGGUUAGCUGCAAUCCGAAACGGAGAAUUCCGUUAGGACUGCGGUUACUUUCCUUU
rnacentral:ncRNA from 1 species